rnacentral:rRNA from 1 species
UACGAGAGGUCCCGAGCGUUGUUUCGGAUUCACUGGGCGUAAAGGGUGCGUAGGUGGCAUGUUAAGUUUGAUGUGAAAGCUCAGGGCUCAACCCUGAAAUGGCAUUGAAUACUAGCGUGCUGGAGGUUUGGGAGGGGGACUGGAAUUCUCGGUGUAGCAGUGAAAUGCGUAGAUAUCGAGAGGAACACCAGUGGCGAAGGCGAGUCCCUGGACAACACCUGACACUGAGGCACGAAAGCUAGGGGAGCAAACAGG